AAACUGGCUGCUUUUAUUAUAGCACAUUUUUUGUGGGGGUGGGGACACUGAAUGUAAAAUCUUGGCAUGCUUGUAUGUACAUAAUGGUAUUUAUGAGUAUGCCUGCACAUGAGCGAGAGUGCUGGGAAGCGAGCCACAUUGGGCUGUUAGUAUAGGCAUCUUGCAUUGCUCAUGGGGAUAUUGCAGGCCUGCAGUUCACAUUUCAGCUCUCUCCGUGACCUGCCAUCAGUGCGCAGGCAAAUGGACUUCUAAUCAGGUGUGGGGCAGUAUGGAGUAUAUUUAAGACAACCCUAGAGACCCAGAGAGGCCUGAGGACUUCCUGGAUUUUGACUGCCAAUCAGGGGCCCUCAGAGAGGAGCUGUUCACUGAAGAGAAUACGGCGAGAGACAGGUUCAGCAUUGAUGAUUUAUUAUUAAAACGAAUUUCUCUUCUUGAAGAUGUUUAUUAUUACAAAGUAUCUAAAUACAGGCAUCUGAGGUAUAUCUGUCUGUGUGUGUACAAGCUAAGAUGGAUUUCUUCAGAACAGUACUCAAGUGUUUGAAAAGAUGAAGGCCAGUGAAAAGAAACUAUAGAAAUGAAAUGUACUGACCAACACAAAAGCCUUACAUACAUGGAAAUAAAUGAGCAAAUGGAAAAACAAUAGCUUUGGGAGUGUAUUUCCUACCCAGGCCAAAAAAAA